ACAAUUGAAUCGUAUUCGAAAUCAUAUUACAUUACUUAAGAAUGUUGAAUUUUUUAAGAUAUUAUGUUAUCAGUGUAUUUAAUUUCACACUCGCUUGAGUUGUUUAUAGUUUUUUAAUGAUAUUACAAACUAGUGAAUAUAGGUUGAUCCUACUGAUUUAUGUGUUUGUUUUGUAAUACAAUUUGAUGGCAAUAUUAUGGAAGAUGUUUGUGUCUUGAAUUGAGGUUAUGUUGUAAGGUAAAAUGAUUUCUAGCUGGUAUCUUCCUCGGAUUUUUCGUCGAAAUUUAAAAAGAUGUAUCAGAAGACUUUCAACAACAGAUGUCCUAGAGGUAUCUAUGAAAAGUGGAAGCGAAUCUGCCAGGAAUCUGGCAAAAAUCCGAAACAUAGGCAUCUUAGCUCAUAUUGAUGCAGGGAAAACUACAACAACAGAGAGAAUGCUAUUCUAUUCUGGCAGAAUUAGGCACAUGGGUGAAGUACACUUAGGCAAUACGGUAACUGAUUACAUGGAACAGGAACGUAAUAGAGGUAUAACUAUAACAUCAGCUGCUGUUACAUUUUCAUGGAAUGGACACAGAUUCAACCUGAUUGACACCCCUGGUCAUAUAGACUUUACGAUGGAGGUGGAACAAACACUGAAUGUGAUGGACGGCGCUGUCGUUGUAUUAGAUGGGUCAGCAGGUGUGGAGGCUCAAACACUGACAGUGUGGAGACAGGCAGACCACUACCAGAUACCCAGGAUUGUCUACGUCAAUAAGAUGGAUCGAAAUGACGCCAGCUUGGCACUCUCUUUGCAAUCCAUUCAAUCAAAGCUAGGAACUCCCACGUUACCUCUCUUUUUACCUCUAAAAGAAGACAAGAAGUUGGUUGGACUGCUAGACCUGGUCAGCCUGGAGAAAUGUGUCUGGGAAGGGGAGCAAGGGGAAAUGAUAUCCCGGAGGCCACUCACCCCAGCAGACAACAGGUUGUGGGAGGAAAGCGUGGCAGCACGAGAGAGUCUAACGGAUUCCCUUACAGAUCUGGACAGUAGAUUGGCUGACCAAGUCAUAGCCCUGGACUCCCUGGAGGAGGUGACGUCUGUAGAUCUCAUGGCAGCCGUAAGAAGAGUCACACUAUCACAGUCAGGGGUAGCAGUGGUGUGUGGCAGUGCAUACAAGAACGUAGGUGUUCAGGCUCUCAUGGAUGCUGUAGUUCACUAUCUGCCCUCUCCAACAGACUGUACACACUCCACAACAUACAGUCACUUCGGUGACAACCUGGCCGCCAAGGUGUUCAAGGUUACCCACGUCAAACACAAGGGUCCAUUGUCAUUCCUUCGUCUAUACUCUGGCACACUGACAAAGGGUCAAAAAGUGUACAAUAUCAGGCAAGGAAAAAGUGAGCUAUUGACAAAGAUAAUGGUUGUGGAAGCUGAUGACUUCGAGGAAGUUCAGGAAGUAACUAAAGGAAACAUAGCUGCAGUAUCAGGACUACAGUCCACAGUUACCGGUGACCUGUUGACGUCCAGUUUAUCUGCAGCAAAUGCAGCUAAGCGGAAUUUAAGCAAGGAAGCAAAAAUUACUGAAGAAGAGGCUGAAGAGCGAUUCAACAUCAGUGCUGUCGUUCCCGAUCCUGUUUUCUUCUGUUCCAUAGAACCUCCUUCACAGGCUUACCAACAAAGAAUGGACGAAGCAUUGGCAGAGCUUCAACGUGAAGACCCCAGUUUGCGGGUGUCGUUUGAUGAGGAAAUUGGCCAGACUGUUCUAGCAGGCAGGUAUGGGGGAGCUUCACUUGGAGGUGAUAAGGGAGCGAAUCCGUUCUGAAUAUAAAAUAGAAGUGGAUUUGGGGCCAAUGCAAAUAGCCUACCGAGAAAUGCUGCUAGCCCCCAUGACUGAUACGCUUGUAGUCAACCAUACCAUUGGUAAUCACAAGCACAGUGUGAAGGUGACCUUGUCCCUACUGCCGGAGAAGAGGAAGGACCUGUUAGUGCUAGACAGGAGUAAGGACAGUGCAGAGAACAUGGCUGCAAUCCAUCCUAGGCAACUGAAGAGCAUAAGGCA
rnacentral:misc_RNA from 1 species